UGAUCGGGUCGCAACUGGCGUUCGGAUGGGUGACCAUCGGGGAGCGAUGAGAAUCGGUUGGUGGCCGUUCGCCUGGGCCACGACA
rnacentral:ncRNA from 2 species